rnacentral:sRNA from 1 species
UUACCACGAAAAACCUGAUUAUUGUUUUC